rnacentral:rRNA from 1 species
GACGAACGCUGGCGGCGUGCUUAACACAUGCAAGUCGAACGAUGAACCGGAGCUUGCUCUGGGGAUUAGUGGCGAACGGGUGAGUAACACGUGGGCAACCUGCCCCAGACACCGGGAUAACCAUUGGAAACGAUGGCUAAUACCGGAUACGACCACUUCGGGCAUCCGAUGGUGGUGGAAAGGAUUCUGGUCUGGGAUGGGCCCGCGGCCUAUCAGCUUGUUGGUGGGGUAAUGGCCUACCAAGGCGACGACGGGUAGCCGGCCUGAGAGGGCGACCGGCCACACUGGGACUGAGACACGGCCCAGACUCCUACGGGAGGCAGCAGUGGGGAAUAUUGCGCAAUGGGCGAAAGCCUGACGCAGCGACGCCGCGUGAGGGACGAAGGUCUUCGGAUUGUAAACCUCUUUCAGCAGGGAUGAAGCGAAAGUGACAGUACCUGCAGAAGAAGCACCGGCUAACUACGUG